rnacentral:tRNA from 1 species
AAGGCUUUAGCUUAAUAAAAGUAUCUGCGUUGCAUGCAGGAGAUGUAGGUUAAUAUCCCGCAAGUCUUA